UACGUAGGGGGCAAGCGUUGUCCGGAUUUAUUGGGCGUAAAGAGCGUGUAGGCGGCCGUACAGGUCAGCUGUGAAAACUCGAGGCUCAACCUCGAGACGUCGGUUGAAACCACUGCGUAGAGUCCGGAAGAGGAGAGUGGAAUUCCCGGUGUAGCGGUGAAAUGCGCAGAUAUCGGGAAGAACACCCGUGGCGAAGGCGGCUCUCUGGGACGGUACUGACGCUGAGACGCGAAAGCGUGGGGAGCGAACAGG
rnacentral:rRNA from 1 species